AAGUCGGACGGACACCUUCGGGUGUCAGUGGCGGACGGGUGAGUAACGCGUAGGAAUCUACCCCUAGGAGGGGGAUAACAGCUGGAAACGGCUGCUAAUACCCCAUACAGGCGCGAGCUGAAAGGAGCAAUCCGCCUAGGGAUGAGCCUGCGUCGGAUUAGCUAGUUGGUGGGGUAAUGGCCUACCAAGGCGACGAUCCGUAGCGGGUCUGAGAGGAUGGCCCGCCACACUGGGACUGAGACACGGCCCAGACUCCUACGGGAGGCAGCAGUCGGGAAUUUUGGGCAAUGGGCGAAAGCCUGACCCAGCAACGCCGCGUGAAGGAUGAAGUCCUUCGGGAUGUAAACCUCGUAAGCAUGGGAAGAA
rnacentral:rRNA from 1 species